UACGUAGGGAGCAAGCGUUGUCCGGAAUCAUUGGGCGUAAAGCGCGCGUAGGUGGCCCCAUAAGUCCGCUGUGAAAGUCAAAGGCUCAACCUUUGAAAGCCGGUGGAUACUGUGGGACUAGAGUACGGAAGAGGCGAGUGGAAUUCCUGGUGUAGCGGUGGAAUGCGCAGAUAUCAGGAGGAACACCAAUAGCGAAGGCAGCUCGCUGGGACGUUACUGACACUGAGGCGCGAAAGCCAGGGGAGCG
rnacentral:rRNA from 1 species